rnacentral:lncRNA from 1 species
CUGCACUAACUGCACUAUACAUAACGGCACAGGAUAUUCUUUUUUCACCCUGAAGGAUAAGCUUUAUCAAAGGACACUGCUUUGGUUCCAGUUUCCAGUGCUUUAUUGUUUCUAGAAAGACGGAUAACCAGCGUCCACUCAAGUCGCUCGAUCACUAGUUGUAGGCUGCACAUUUUCUACGGUUUUCGUUCUCUACAACGUGCGCAGCGAAUAAAAGUUUUACGGACUCGCCAGUAUGGAUCACUUCUGCUUUUAGGGGACCAAACACGUGCAGCAGUAUUCGCAUAAUUUUGGAGAGGAUUGACGCCUAGUGAUGCCAGGACAGUGAGCAUCAUAAUGCGAGGCACGUGGUCCGGGGCCACGCCCCUCCUCAUAAUGGUUCUUCUCAGACUGGCCCAAGGCCAAGAGGUUCCUUUAGUCCCAGAGACUGGAGGCGCUCAGGAUGGGGCCAGCGAAGGGGCAACACCGGCUCCCACCACCGAGCAUGAGGAUGACAACACUUUGGGCUACACAG